rnacentral:rRNA from 1 species
UACGAGGGGGGCAAGCGUUAUUCGGAUUCACUGGGCGUAAAGGGUGCGUAGGCUGCGCGGCAAGUCAGGUGUGAAAUCCCGGGGCUCAACCCCGGAACUGCACUUGAUACUGCCGUGCUCGAGUACUGGAGAGGAGACUGGAAUUUACGGUGUAGCAGUGAAAUGCGUAGAUAUCGGGAGGAACACCCGUGGCGAAGGCGGGUCUCUGGGACGGUACUGACGCUGAGACGCGAAAGCGUGGGGAGCGAACAGG